GACGAACGCUGGCGGCGUGCUUAACACAUGCAAGUCGAACGCUGAAGCCCUUUCGGGGGUGGAUGAGUGGCGAACGGGUGAGUAACACGUGGGUAAUCUGCCCUGUACUUCGGGAUAAGCCUUGGAAACGGGGUCUAAUACCGGAUAGGACCUGUCCUCGCAUGGGGGUGGGUGGAAAGUUCCGGCGGUAUGGGAUGAGCCCGCGGCCUAUCAGCUUGUUGGUGGGGUAGUGGCCUACCAAGGCGACGACGGGUAGCCGGCCUGAGAGGGUGACCGGUCACACUGGGACUGAGACACGGCCCAGACUGCUACGGGAGGCAGCAGUGGGGAAUCUUGCGCAAUGGGGGAAAGCCUGACGCAGCAACGCCGCGUGGGGGAUGACGGCCUUCGGGUUGUAAACCUCUUUCGACAUCGACGAAGGGGCCCUGUUGUGGGGUUUUGACGGUAGGUGUAGAAGAAGCACCGGCUAACUACGUGCCAGCAGCCGCCGUAA
rnacentral:rRNA from 1 species